AAUAUACUCCCUCCGUCCAAAAAUUCUUCUCUUAAAUUUGUCUAAAUACGAAUGUAUCAAGUCACGUUUUAGUAUUAGAUACAUCCGUAUCUAGACUAAUCUAAGACAAGAAUUUUGGGACGGAGGGAGUAUUAA
rnacentral:pre_miRNA from 1 species